rnacentral:rRNA from 1 species
ACGAACGCUGGCGGCGUGCUUAACACAUGCAAGUCGAACGGAAAGGCCCUGCUUUUGUGGGGUGCUCGAGUGGCGAACGGGUGAGUAACACGUGAGUAACCUGCCCUUGACUUUGGGAUAACUUCGGAAACUGGGGCUAAUACCGGAUAGGAGCUCCUGCUGCAUGGUGGGGGUUGGAAAGUUUCGGCGGUUGGGGAUGGACUCGCGGCUUAUCAGCUUGUUGGUGGGGUAGUGGCUUACCAAGGCUUUGACGGGUAGCCGGCCUGAGAGGGUGACCGGCCACAUUGGGACUGAGAUACGGCCCAGACUCCUACGGGAGGCAGCAGUGGGGAAUAUUGCACAAUGGGCGGAAGCCUGAUGCAGCAACGCCGCGUGCGGGAUGACGGCCUUCGGGUUGUAAACCGCUUUCGCCUGUGACGAAGCGUGAGUGACGGUAAUGGGUAAAGAAGCACCGGCUAACUACGUG